CCUGAUCCAGCAAUGCCGCGUGAGUGAUGAAGGCCUUCGGGUUGUAAAGCUCUUUCGCACGCGACGAUGAUGACGGUAGCGUGAGAAGAAGCCCCGGCUAACUUCGUGCCAGCAGCCGCGGUAAUACGAAGGGGGCUAGCGUUGUUCGGAAUUACUGGGCGUAAAGGGCGCGUAGGCGGUGUGUCAAGUCAGGCGUGAAAGCCCCGGGCUCAACCUGGGAACCGCGCUUGAGACUGGCACGCUAGAGUUCGGGAGAGGAUGGUGGAAUUCCCAGUGUAGAGGUGAAAUUCGUAGAUAUUGGGAAGAACACCGAUGGCGAAGGCAGCCAUCUGGACCGACACUGACGCUGAGGCGCGAAAGCGUGGGGAGCAAACAGGAUUAGAUACCCUGGUAGUCCACGCCGUAAACGAUGAGUGCUAGACGUCGGGGCCCUCAGGGCUUCGGUGUCGCAGCUAACGCAUUAAGCACUCCGCCGUGGGGAGUACGGCCGCAAAGGUUA
rnacentral:rRNA from 1 species